UAUAUUUCCAAGUUGAAAGACAAAGUGAACUUCAUUGGCCAACAAAACAUUACUUCAGGUGUCUUGGAGAUAUUUGAAUCACGGGACCCAAGUUCCCAGUUCACGAUCGUGAUACGGUUGGAAAUGAAGGUAGGUACAGCCAAAGGAUGGAGCUGGGAGGAAGAAACAGAAGACCAGUCCAAUGAUCCUUCACCAUAUUCUAAUAGGGGGGCUCUGGCCUUUAACAGCAGCUUAAAUAAUGCUACCGAUGUCACCUAAGAUCCCCUAAAACAUGAGUCUGCACAUUUCUUCAAUGAGCCUGAAAUGGCUGUUUCCCUGCCACUUACCUACCAGAACCUCUCUGGGCAGCCUAUGCCAGCACUCUGUCACCUGCACAGUAAAAUCACAGAAUGGUUUGGGUUUGAAGAGACCUUUAAGAUCAUGUAGUUCUAACCCCCUGCUUUAGGCAGGGACACCUCCCUCUAACCAGGUUGCUCACAGCCCCAUCCAGCCUGGCCUGGAAUGCUUCCAAGGAGGGGGCAUCCACAGUCUCACUGGGCAACCUGUUCCAGUGUCUCACCACCCGCACAGGAAAGAAUUUCUUCCCAAUAUCUAGUCUAAUCUCUAGUCUAAAUCUACCCUCUUCCAGUUUAAAGCCAUUUCCCCUUGUCCUGUCACUAGCACUGAAUGGAAGUACUAAAUGAGUGCUUCCUGGUGUUCAACUGUAAUCCACGGUGAUUUAAAAGUGAAUGUGCUGCUUUUAAUGAAUUUUCAACGUAACAUUUAAAAUCCCCGUACCAUGAAACCAAGAAUCUCUUUGCUGGGUGUGUAACUGUCUCAGACACACCACUAGAGGGAAGAGUGCCUCCACCUUCAGUACGCAGCAGGCUCUGAGGUGCUUCUCAGAAAGCUUCCCACAGGGAGUGGUGCUGCACUGCCACAGGGACGACUGUCUCGGGAGGCACUGAAGAACCGUGUGGAUGUGGCACUGAGGGACACGGUUAGUGGGCACGGUGGGGGUGGGUCAGUAGUUGGACUAGCUGACCUUAGCAGUCUUUUCCAACCUUAAUGAUUCUGUGACUCUCAUCCGUGCAGUGAUUUUUGAGGAGAGAACGAGGGCCAUUGAUUCUAGUUACAAGAACACUGGAUAAACCAGGCCUCCAUUUUCAGAAACGCUGUUCAAAACUUAACUUUAACACUGAUUCUAGGGAGAAAUCCAGCUACUUUGAACAUGCAACCUUGGGACCUCAGAAGAAAGAGUGCUCCAGGAGCAUCCCAAAUGCACUCCAGCCACCAGGCCCUGGGACAGACUGAGGCUGCUGAGUGCCAGCCCCCAAGGGAGGACGUGUGCUGCCCAUGGCCACUGUGGGCUGGGCACUUGGCUGAGGGGACUCCAACACCCUGAGAUGUGUGGGUGAGGAAGGGCCACAAAGGCUCCUCAUUCUGCUAUGCAUGGAGAAGCACUCCUGUGGAUUUGCUAUCUCUCUUGGUAAAGGUCUCACUGUUAUCACGGGGCCGCUCCGAAAGUAAUACCUCCUGUUUUAUUACGUUGGCGCAUGACAUCAGGGGCAGAUGUUAUGGAGGCCAAGCAGUGGCUGUGAGCACAGUGAGGCGGCAGGUGGUGUGUUGAAGCAGCUGCAACAGCACCAGUGGGUCACCUCUGCUGGUGCAGAUGUUUAUGAGAGUGGCAUGCAGGUUUCUGUUCAU
ensembl:lncRNA